AUGGUCCAUAUGAUUUGUUUUUGUCACCUCUUUGGUCUAUGUGGCAUAUUAAAAUUCUAAUUUGCACUAACUCAUUCCUUUCUAGUUUAUUUAUUUAUUAUAACUAUUUAUAUUAUAAAAAAAUAUAUGGAUCGCAUUCCUACACCACCCUUUAACAUUCUCUAUCACCCUCUUCCAUAUGUUCCACAUUCCUUAACUAUUUAUCGUUCAAGAAAACAAUCUCCGUUGAGAUUAUCUUCUCCAAGUGAUGAAUCGGUAACCGCCUAUAGCACCUUCCCCGGCGUUGAACCAGAUUUUUCGAAGACUAUGUGGAGUAGCAAUGAUCAGUUGAAUGUGAAAAUCAAAUGGACUUGAAGAUUGAUGAACAUUGGGCUUGGUGACUUUUGAAGAUGGUGCAAAGUGGGCUAGUUGGGGAAUGGAGAUUUGAAGAAAAUAUAGGCUAUUUGAUUUAUGAAGAAUUGGAUUGUGGGCCUUGGACUUAAAGAAAAUGGAAGCUAUUAGUCUGUUAUGAUAUUAAAAUAAUUAUAGGGUAGCCGACAUUAUCUUUGUAUUUGUGAAGGUAGCUUUGUGUAAAUAUGUCCUAAAUAGUCUAGGGUUGCCACAUUGUAUUAUAUAUUUUUGGAUCUGUUUCAAUAGAGAACACGGAAGAUUCAUAACA